AUGGGGCAGAAAAGCCACCUGUGUGUGUUCCUAGACAGAGCGUCAUUAAAAGCACUUUCUACAGCCAAGCAGCUGAACUACCUGCAAGGACGCCUUCCUCACCCAGCAGGGAGCUCAGGAGGCACUUGGACAGAGCCAGAAGAACUUUCCGGAAAGCUGGAUAUUCAAAAGUGCCCCUCAGUGGUCUCCGUGAACCCCUCCUGGAACAGUUUGAACUGGAGGAAGAAGAAGGCAAGUCUGACGAUGAUGAUCACAGGGAAAAGCCUGCUGGGUUCCUUGACCAAAUCUGCUUCGUUUGAUACCGCCAGGAAACCUCCCCAUCCUGCUAUUGCUGGGUCUAGCCGGAGUCGUUCCCUGGAUGACUACAGGCUGAGGGCCUCCAGGUCAGUGAGGGAGCAAGAUAUUUUGGAAGAAGACUGUGAUAUAACGGCACAGGAAAGUUGCCCUGAGGGCAGCGAGCACUGCGACAUAUCUACGGGGCCAGGCAAGGGAUGCUCUGCAGGCACUUCAGAGCAAGAGGACUUCAGGAGAGCCAGCAAGGAUCGUUCAGAAGAGCAGCUCUCUCCUUCCACACAGUGUGAGGGUAAUGGGUGCCCAGCUGUUUGUGUGCAACAGCUAGACAGGCUUCCAGUGUCGCCUCAAAGGAGCGAGAACAGGAAACAUUUACUGAAGAAGUCAAAAGCUACUUACGUGGAGGAGGAGGCUGGAGAUUUGGAAGGCAAAAGCCCCAUUCUGUCUGCCCAGCACUCAGAUGUGACUGCACCAUCAGCUCAAAAACAUGAAAUCAAGGAGGAUAAAUCUCCCUCUGGCAGUGCUCGUGACACGGUUUUUCAGGAGGGUGAGCAGGCCAUUUUGACCGUCCCACAGUCAGAGACCACCUCCAGGUCAGCCCCUGGCAGUACGAGAGGAGCCUACCACCUGCCCCAGGAGUCUGCUCGCAGCACCGACACCCAUCCUGAGCUGAAAGGUGAGGGCUUCCUCAUCAAAAGGACAGCCCCAGCUCCACCUUGGAAAGACAAAAGGCAGAAACAUUCGAAUGAGAAGCCUUCUGCUCACAGCGUUGUCCGGUCUGAUCUCAUGGAGCACGAAAGCUCUUCUGUUCCAACAGGUCCACAGACAGAAACUGAUUCACUUCCAGUGUGUAAAGAAAAAAGCCAGCAACUUUCUAAUCAAAUUACUCCAGCACCUACUGGCGUGGAGGGCAAACAGCCAGGUGUCCCAUCAGCUCUGCAAACAGCUGGCGAACAUGCUCACCAGAAGCCAAAGACCUACAAGGAGGUGAGAUCUGCUGUCCUGGAGGAUGAAGGACCAAGUAUUGCAGGGAUCGCUCCACUUUCAGCCCCUGGUGGUGAAAGGGAAGCCCACAAAAAGGCUUCUGUUCAUGCAGACACGACACCAGCCAUUCUACAGGGAGAGCACCCCGUUGUUUCAAAAGUCCUGCCGCCAAAACCGAUGAGAACUGCCAUUGCUGACAGAGCACGGCACGCUGAAAGGGAGCAUCCAGCUCACAGCAAGGAGAGGCUGGCUGCUCUGAGGAGUGAAGGCUCAUCUGUUCCCAGUUCGGUCCAUGAAGCUGAAAUUCUGGGGAAAUCUGGACCCCAGAAGGCUUCUCAGGGCAGUGGCGUGGUGCCUGCUGCUCUGGAGGGCAGACACAUGGCUAUAGCUGAUUCAUCCCAAAAUACUGGCCUCCCUUCCGUCUACGAGAGGGAAAAGCAAGAACAUCCGAGGGCAUCGCUUCACAGUGAGGUGAGAUCUGCUGUCACAACCAGUGGAAGCCCAGAGGUGGGACAGACUUCGUCUGCUCCUUGCCCCGAGGCUGGAAGUCAGGUGUUUGAGCAGCACAAGGCCUGUCUAUGCCUGGUGGCAAAGUUUCUGCUGCUCUGGAGGGGCACUCGUCCAGGUAUUUUAAGUGCUCCACAACCAGAUAUUCAGUCUCCUGGCUGCAGUCUAUCAGCUAGAAUAUGA
rnacentral:lncRNA from 1 species